AUCCAGUGAUGAGUCCCAAGUAGGACGAAAUUCGCAUCCUGGAU
rfam:Trichobilharzia regenti genome assembly, scaffold: TRE_scaffold0002682